rnacentral:rRNA from 1 species
GACGAACGCUGGCGGCGUGCUUAACACAUGCAAGUCGAACGGGCCCGCUCUCUUUUUUGGGGGUGGGUUGAGUGGCGAACGGGUGAGUAUCACGUGAGUAACCUGCCCCCUGCUCCUGGAUAACUGCUUGAAAGGGCGGCUAAUACGGGGUGUGCCGGCUGGUCCGCAUGGGCCUGGUCGGGAUAGUUUCAUCUUCGGGUGUUUCGGUGGGGGAUGGGCUCGCGGCCUAUCAGCUUGUGGGUGGGGUGAUGGCCCACCAAGGCGGUGACGGGUAGCCGGCCUGAGCGGGUGGGCGCCCACACUGGGACAGAGGCACGGCCCAGACUCGGGCGGGAGGCAGCAGUGGGGGGUAUUGCACAGUGGGCGGAAGCCUGAUGCAGCGACGUCGCGUGAGGGAUGGAGGCCUUCGGGUGGUGAACCUCUUUCUCCGGUGGUGAAGGCCCUGUCCGUUGCGGCGGGGUUGACGGUAGCCGGGUAUGAAGCGCCGGCUAACUACGUG